rnacentral:rRNA from 1 species
CUUGACCUCGGAUCAGGUAGGGAUACCCGCUGAACUUAAGCAUAUCAAUAAGCGGAGGAAAAGAAACCAACAGGGAUUGCCCCAGUAACGGCGAGUGAAGCGGCAGCAGCUCAAAUUUGAAAUCUGGCGCCUCCGGCGUCCGAGUUGUAAUUUGCAGAGGACGCCUCGGGGCCCGCCCGGUCUAAGUCCCUUGGAACAGGGUGUCGCAGAGGGUGAGAAUCCCGUAUGUGACUGGACUCGGUCCCCGUGUGAGGCUCCUUCGACGAGUCGAGUUGUUUGGGAAUGCAGCUCUAAAUGGGAGGUAAAUUUCUUCUAAAGCUAAAUACCGGCCAGAGACCGAUAGCGCACAAGUAGAGUGAUCGAAAGAUGAAAAGCACUUUGAAAAGAGAGUUAAAAAGUACGUGAAAUUGUUGAAAGGGAAGCGCCUACGACCAGACUCGGCCGCGGUUGCUCAGCCCGUCUUAUGACCGGCGUAUCUUCCGCGGCCGGGCCAGCAUCGGUUCCGACGGCCGGAUAAAGGCCCGGGGAAUGUAGCUCCCCUCGGGGAGUGUUAUAGCCUCGGGUGCAAUGCGGCCCGUCGGGACCGAGGACCGCGUUCGCUAGGAUGCUGGCGUAAUGGUCGUCGGCGGCCCGUCUUGAAACACGGACCAAGGAGUCUAACAUCUGUGCGAGUGUUAGGGUGUCAAACCCUUGCGCGUAAUGAAAGUGAACGGAGGUGGGAACCUUUACCGGUGCACCAUCGACCGAUCCGGAUGUCUUCGGAUGGAUUUGAGUAAGAGCAUAAAUGUUGGGACCCGAAAGAUGGUGAACUAUGCCUGAAUAGGGUGAAGCCAGAGGAAACUCUGGUGGAGGCUCGCAGCGGUUCUGACGUGCAAAUCGAUCGUCAAAUUUGGGCAUAGGGGCGAAAGACUAAUC